UACGUAGGGGGCAAGCGUUAUCCGGAUUUACUGGGUGUAAAGGGAGCGUAGACGGCAUGGUAAGUCUGAUGUGAAAACCCGGGGCUCAACCGCGGGAUUGCAUUGGAAACUGCUGUGCUCGAGUGCUGGAGGGGCAGGCGGAAUUCCUGGUGUAGCGGUGAAAUGCGUAGAUAUCAGGAAGAACACCGGUGGCGAAGGCGGCCUGCUGGACAGUAACUGACGUUGAGGCUCGAAAGCGUGGGGAG
rnacentral:rRNA from 1 species